AUGGCCAUGAAUAAUCUUUCAACAGAAUCAACUGUUGCUGCAGCAAUUUCAGCCUUAGUGAUAUUCCUCUCAAUUUUCCUAUUGAUUUCAAGAAAUGGGCAAAAAAGGACACUCAAGAAGAAGCAAGCUCAACAAGCGCCGGGAGCAGGGGGAGCAUGGCCUUUGAUAGGCCACCUAUAUCUCUUACGACGGCCAGAGCCAGCUCACAGAGUUUUGGGCAACAUGGCUGACAAAUAUGGACCGAUAUUCACUAUGAAAUUGGGAGUGAAGCAAGCUUUAGUGGUGAGCAACUGGGAAAUUGCCAAGGAGUGUUUUACCACAAACGACAAAGCUUUUGCAGGUCGCCCCAAAACAAUGGCCAUGGAGCUUUUGGGGUACAACUUCUUGGUCAUAGGCUUCGCACCAUAUGGCAACUACUGGCGUCAGUCACGUAAGAUAGCCACAAUUGAGCUUCUGUCAAAUCGUCGGCUUGAGAUGCUCAAACAUGUACGUGAAUCCGAAGUGAAGGCUUCAAUCCAGAGGUUAUACAAGAACUGCAUAAGUGGCAGCAGUUCACGUAAAGUAGUUUCGGUGGAGAUGAUCCAUUGGCUCGAGGGCACAGCACUUGACAUUAUUUUGAGAAUAAUUGCCGGAAAACGUCACACUUCACAAUCAAAAGAGGUUAACGAUUGGCAACAGCAAAUAACAAAGUUCACUGCCUUGUCUGGUCAGUUCGUGGUGUCCGAUGCGUUGCCCUUUCUGAGAUGGCUAGAUAUCGGCGGCUAUGAGAGAUUAAUGAGCAAGACAGCCAAAUAUUUUGACAUCAUUUUGCAAGAAUGGUUGGAUGAGCACAAGAUGAAAAGAGAUUCUGGUGAUGUUAAGGGCGACGAGGAUUUCAUGUAUGUGUUGUUGUCCUUGCUUGAUGAUAAUGCAGAGCAGCUUCCUGAUCGCGAUGCUGACGCUGUCAUUAAAGCAAUAUGCGUGGUAUAUUAUAUGCUCAUCAAAAGCUUUUGUGUGCGCGUGUGUUGUAUUGUUAUCCUUAUGUCACAGAUUGCUUACUGCUUUUAAUUUGCAGACUCUAAUCGUAGCGGCUGCAGACACCUCAGUAGUUACGUUGACAUGGGCUAUUGCUUUACUUCUCAACAAUCGCGAUGUUCUGAAGAAGGCACAAGAUGAAUUAGACAUUCAGGUUGGUACUGAAAGGCCAGUGAAUGAAUCGGACACGAGAAAUUUGGUUUACUUGCAGGCCAUUAUCAAGGAAACGAUGCGUUUAUACCCUGCUGCACCACUUUUACUACCUCACGAGUCUAUAGAAGAAUGCGUCGUCAAUGGUUACCAUGUCCCCGCAGGCACCCAACUGUUUGUUAACGCUUGGAAGAUUCAACGCGAUCCAUGUGUAUGGGAGGAGCCAUGUCAAUUUCAGCCAGAAAGAUUUCUUACGAGGUAUAAGGAUAUUGAUGUUAGGGGACAAGAUUUUGAAUUGAUACCAUUUGGGAGUGGAAGAAGAAUGUGUCCUGCAGUGUCACUAGGCCUUCAAGUUAUGCAACUAACGCUUGCUUCAUUAGUGCAUGGGUUUGAUUUUACAACCCCAUCGGAUGAACCGGUUGACAUGGGAGAGGCAAUGGGCCUAACCAUUGCUAAGGCUACUCCGCUUGAAGUGCUUGUUAGUCCGCGCCUUUCUGCUUCUUUAUAUGGUUAAAAUUAGCUUGUGUACUUAGUUAAUGCAAAUAAUUAAGUUGUACUUUUCAACAACUUAGUCAUAAAGGUGCGUUUAUCUCUUUUAAGUGUCAUGUCACUGUUGCCGUGCGUUUAGCACACUGCAUUAUGUUAAGGGUAAGUUUAAUAUAUUAUAUUGUAUUUUAAUUAUUUAAUAUUUGCUAUCUUGUAUUAAAUUGUAUCAUAUUGACAUUGUAUUGUAUUAAUAGUGUAUAACAUUUGGUACUAUAUUGUACUAUAUUGUACUAUAUUAUUUUUUAUUUAUCCCAUAUUUGGUACUGCACUGCAUUGCAUUAUAUUGAUUAUUUAGAUAAUUAAUUUAAAUUAUAAGUUGGGAAAAACAUUUUUUUUUUUAAAAGACUAAAUAUCGAAGUUAUAAAUUGUAGAAUUUUUCACAUCAAUUAUUUUCAGUCUAAAUGUAAAAUGUAUUAUAAUUCUUUUGAACACAUGUAAAAUUAACAAUUUCUAAAAUUUUCGGUAUCAUAACUUUUAUUUGUUCUAACAUUUCUCAAAUGCAUACCUUUUGAAAUAAAGAUCCAAUCAAAUAAUCUAAUAAAAUAAAUUCUAAAAAAUCAUAACAUAAAUAAAUAGAUAAAUAGUCAUCUAAACGUUAAGGAUGUUAAUAAAAAGUUUACAUAUGCUACAACAUACUAGGACCCUGAUCCCUUAAUAAAAUGGAUUGAACAAUGCACUAAGCUCCUCAUCCAACAAUGAAAAAAAUUUUACAUGAGUUUUUUUUUUUUAAUUUAUAAUCUUUCAUUAAAGAAAUUUACGAGAUACAUAGCAGGUAGGGGUGGCAAAAAAGCCUGGGCUGGCCCAGGCCCGGCCAAGCCCAGCCCAGGCCCGCGGGCCUAAAGCCCGGCCCGCACAGGUGGGCCUGGACAAGGGCUUAGCAAAAAAGCCUGGACUUGGCCCAGGCUUUUUAAAUUUAUGAAUAAAAAAAAAUAAUUUAAAUAAAAAGAAAAAAUUUAAAAUAUUAAAUUAGUUUAAUUUUUUAUAUUAGUAUUUGUUAUUUUAUUAGGUUGUAUUAUUAAUAUUUCAUGUAUUUGACCAUUAUUCUAUUUAUAUAUUAGAUUAUUAUCUUUAAUUUAAAUAUUUUUCUUAAUUUAAAAAAUAUUUUAUAAUUAAUUUUAAAGGCCCAAGCCCGGCCCGUCCAAGUUGGACGGGCUUUUAAAGGGCCUAGGCUUCGUUUGAAAGAUGCGGGCUUGGGCCUGGGCUUUAAAAAGCCCGGCCCAAGUCCACAAAUUGCCAUCCCUAAUAGCAGGCAUGAAACUUUGGCCACAUUGAUGCCAAACCCUAUGGCUUUAGCCUUUGCCAAUUCCAUCUCACCUAGAAAUUCAAUUCUAUUCAUUGAUGCCGUCAUUAACUAUCCUCUUGAGUUUCUGAUCACAACAUCUAAGCCUUUAACAACAUCACAACUUCUAAUAGCUGCAUCCGGAUCCUAAGUUAAAUUCUCCAGAUUGCAUGGCACUUAAGAAGAAAAACUUCACUUACUACUUUGUAGGACUUUAAGGGUGCGUUUGUGAUUGAGGUUGGACAGCUGUACCUUAAAAGCUACAGCACUAAAGUAUUUGGUAAACACUGAUUGCUGGAGUUUUUAAGUUAUGUUGAUAUAAAUUUUCACCUGUAUAAUAAAAAAUUUAUUAUAUUUUUAAUAAUUUUAUUAAAUUAUUAUUUAAAAUAUAUAUUUACUACAUUAUUAAUUUUUAUAUGAUAAUUAUAAUUUUUUUUCCGCAACAGCUGUAGCUUAAAAAGUACAGCACUACAAUCUCAAACGGGACCUAAGAAAUAUUCAACACAUCUCCAUAAUUCUUUCUUGGUCUACAACGCAGUGAUCAUAGUAAAAUCUAUUAGUUGCUAAUAUGUUUCUCAAUAUACCUUAAUUCUUCUUAUAACUAAUACACUUUACAGGCCAAAUUAUACAUUUGAAAAUAUUUUUAAGGAUCACACAAUUAUUUGGGGCGAGUUGACGUGGCCACGGCCGUGCUUGUUGCGGCCGCCGUUCCGGCGCUUGAAGGUCUGUCACAGAAAAAAUUAAUAUAAUAUAUCAAAUUUAUAUUAAAUAAAAACAAUUCUUUUUUUUUUUCAAUAAUAAUAUUUUUGGAAAUCAGAAAGAUAAAAUAUUUUCGCAAACCAUUCUGUUUUCUUCAAGGGAUGAAGGCGGCGACUGGCGAGAUUUGGUUGUUUGCUCGACUCAAAGUGCGGCAGGGGUUCUGAAAGUACAAUUUACAUGGCAGCUUUAUAUGGAGGAGUGACUUUCAAUAAUUCGGAAUUGAAGCCUCGUUUUUAUAAUAUUUUCACAUUGCCCCUUUUAUAUUGGAUGGUUAGGAACGGAUUAUGAUUAUAGAUAAGUAAAUUCGGACGGAUAGUUUGAGACUUAACGAGAUAAUGAUAGAUUAAAAAAAAAAUUAAAAUUCUAUCAGAUUUUAUAUAGGUAAAUAAUUAUUUAUAUUUCUAAAAAUUUAAUGAAUAGUUAUAUUUGACCCCUUUUUAUUUUUCUCGCCAACCUCCAUUACUCAGUUAACCAUAUCAUAAAUUUUUAAAUAACUUUCUAUCUCUCAACAUAAUUCAAUACUCCUAAUAUAUCAUUAGUCGAGGCCCACUGUAGUCUUCAGAUACCAGAUGAUUUAAUACACCGAAAAAAAAAAUACCAUUAUCAUCAAUUCAAUAGUCCUAAUUACACACACUCUUUCAACUUCUGCCAACUCUACAUCUCCAGCAAAAGCAGUAGUGAUGAUCUCCCCUUUGCAAUUUUUGACAACCAUGUCUAAGCCCAACCAUCAUUCCUUCUGAAGUUGAGAUUGCUGCACGAGUGAAAAAGAAUAUUGAAAUUGAAUUAUUAAUUUGGAAGAAUUUCACAACACAAUUAAACAAUAAUUGAAUAUAUUUGAGUCAUUUGACCGUAUUUUUUUUGUUAAAAAAACCCAUAUCUAGGUUCAGUUACAAAAGCCAAAUCUCUCUAAUCAUGUGUCUAGAUUCAAGGACCACAAACAAGAGAUUCCAAGAACUUGUUAACACCCUUUUAGAAAACUUGAUUUUGGAUUUUCAUGCUUGGACAAUGGCUUCUUGGAUUCCUCUCCAAUGACUCCAAUUUUGUCAUACAAUUGAUUGGAAUUGAAUGGCACAUGCUCGAUUGAUACUCUCAAGUUGAGGAGUUUUAUAAGUUUAAAAAAUGGGGUGGCUAAAAAAUAGGCUGAUGAAGAAUUUAAACAAAAAAAAGAAAGAAAGUUCGAAUAUCACUCAAAUUUAAUUCUUUUUUAUUUAAAAAAACAAAUAAACUGAUGAUUUCUAUUUAAAAGAAUAAUAUUUAAGUCCCUCAAGUUUUUUUUUUUUAACUAUUUGUAUCUUUUCUUUAAAACUUAUUAUACUCAUAAGAUAUCAACAGUCAAAUAUUGGGUCCGCCUAACUUACGUUCAACGCAAGUUACGCUCAGUCCGUCCAAUUUCAUAUAGUCCCCUUAUACUCUAUACUAUUUAUAUUUAUUCAUAAAUAUUAUAAAUUUUUUGAAAUGUAAACUUUCAUUUAACCCCUUAUACUCAAUUUUAUUUUAUUAAAACCAUAGAGUAUGAAUUCGCCCCCAUAAUUUUAAAUUCUCAAAAUAAUCUCCAUUUAAUUAAAAAUAUAAUUAUAUUAUUAUUGGUCUCAAAAAUAUAAUUAUAAUCAUUAAUUAUUAUUAUUAUUAUUAUUAUUAUUAUUAUUAUUAUUAUUAUUCUUAUUAACAAUUUAUAAUGCUUUUUAUUCUUGUUAUUAAUAAUAACAAUAAUCUAUUAAAAAAUAUUUAUGAUUAUAAUAAAAUUAUAAUUAUAAUUAUAAUUCAUUUAAAAAUAAUUAUAUUUUUAAUUAAAUGGAGGUUAUUUUGAGAAUUUAAAAUUAUGGGGGCGAAUUUAUACUCUAUGGUUUUAAUAAAAUAAAGUUGAGUAGAGGGGAAAAUAUUAUAAUUAAUUAAUCUAUUAACAAUAAUUAAUAAUAUUUUUAUUAAAUUGUUAGUAAUAAUAAUAAUAAUUAAUGAUAAUCAACAUAUUUAUGAUUAUAAUAAAAUGGAAUAAACACCGAGUCUAUAUUUAUAUAGGAGACUCUUUUAUAUUUUUAUACAUUUUAAUUUCAAGUACUUUUAGGAUUUUUUUGUUACCUUCAUAAAUAAUGAUUUUCUAGGCAUCUCAUUAUUAAACGGUCAUUUUUAAGUGUUUUUUGCUAAGUUGUUACACAUUCGAGGAUGUAAACACAUUUUUCUUGCUUCUAUUUUUUAAAUACAAAAUUAUUUUUAUUGGGUCAAGCUUAAAAUUCUGACAGAAAUUAUCAUUCAUUGGUCUCUUGAAACCCGAUAAUGAGUAUUUAAAGUCGAAGGUAGCAUUAGCAAUAUAUUUACUAUUAGUUAGAUAAUCAUUAAUUAUUAUUAUUAUUAUUAUUAUUAUUAUUAUUAUUAACAAUUUAUAAUGCUUUUUAUUCUUGUUAUUAAUAAUAACAAUAAUCUAUUAAAAAAUAUUUAUGAUUAUAAUAAAAUUAUAAUUAUAAUUAUAAUUCAUUUAAAAAUAAUUAUAUUUUUAAUUAAAUGGAGGUUAUUUUGAGAAUUUAAAAUUAUGGGGGCGAAUUUAUACUCUAUGGUUUUAAUAAAAUAAAAUUGAGUAGAGGGGGCUAAACAAAAUUUUAUUUUAAUAACAAUAAUCUAUUAAAAAAAUAUUUGUGAUUAUAAUAAAAUUAUAAUUAUAAUUAUAAUUCAUUUAAAAAUAAUUAUAUUUUUAAUUAAAUGGAGGUUAUUUUGAGAAUUUAAAAUUAUGGGGGCGAAUUCAUACUCUAUGGUUUUAAUAAAAUAAAAUUGAGUAGAGGGGGUUGAAUGAAAUUUUAUAUUUUAAAAAAUUUAUAAUAUUUAUGAAUAAAAUAUAAAUAGUAUAGAGUAUAGGGGGACUAUAUGAAAUUGGACGGGCUGAGCGUAACUUACGUUGAACGUAAGUUAGGCGGAUUGAAAAUAACUUUUUCUAAAUAUCAAAACAAUCAUCAUCAUCAUUAUUAUUGUUGAACGUAAGUUAGGCGGAUUGAAAAUAACUUUUUCUAAAUAUCAAAACAAUCAUCAUCAUCAUUAUUAUUAUUAUUUCGUGUAAUAUAGUUAUAGGGACAAAAAUCUAAGGGUGAAAUAAAAGUGGUAUUUAAUAGAAUUUAUAUUAUGACAAAAGCCAAGUGGACCCAAGUGAUAAAACUGUUUAAUUGAUGGACAGAAGAUCAAUUUUCUUUUGUGUUGCCGACACCACAGUUUGGUUUACGCUUCCCGACCCAUGAUAUAGGAGAAGUCUAUGUUACAGCUUCUGUAAGUAGCAGCAGCCAAUAGGGAACUUCCACGGGUGCAAGGUGAUGGAAAUGGGAAAGUUCGAAGCUGUUACUUGCAGCUUCUGCACCUUAGCCAUGUCCUGAUAUUCAGGACCAUGCACUUUUGUCAUCCCAGACAAUUUUUCAUAAUUAAAACAAAACAAGUGCUGCGUCCUGUGGCUGAUAUUUAGAGCAAAUGAAGUUUACCAAGUCCUCCCAUGAAAAUAUCAUAUCCCACCAUUAUCUCCAACCAUUUUAAAGGUUGAAAUUACAAGAGAAGUCGUAUCGUAUCUAUGUACUAUGUUUGUCACAAUUGUUUGGCAACCUCCAAAUUGGCCGUAUAAAGUCAUUGAUUAAUCAGAAAAAGAUACCAUUGUCGAAAACUUCGCCAUUGUGGCCCCUGAUGUAUAAAACUGACCAUAGGAUUAGCAACGGUUUGUCAGCUAGCGGAACUUACGUGUACGUCAUGCACACUUAAAUGUUAUCUAUAUACUGUGUAGGCAUUGCUCUGAACUAACCUCUUCAUUCAGAGUCCCCGAGUCAGCUGCAAGGGAAUGGCCAUGAAUAAUCUUUCAGCAGAAUCAACUGUUGCUGCAGCAAUUUCAGCCUUAGUGAUAUUCCUCUCAAUUUUCCUAUUGAUUUCAAAAAAUGGGCAAAAAAGGACACUCAAGAAGAAGCAAGCUCAACAAGCACCGGAAGCAGGGGGAGCAUGGCCUUUGAUCGGCCACCUACAUAUCUUACGAGGGCCAGAGCCAGCUCACAGAGUUUUGGGCAACAUGGCUGACAAAUAUGGACCGAUAUUCACUAUGAAAUUGGGAGUGAAGCAAGCUUUAGUGGUGAGC
rnacentral:lncRNA from 1 species